CACUACCCGAAGGAGUCUCAAAGUGGCUAACAUUCUCCUUUUCCCUUCCUCUCCCACAACAAACACUCUGUGAGGUGAGUGGGGCUGAGAGACUUCAAAGAAGUGUGACUAGCCCAAGGUCACCCAGCAGCUGCAUGUGGAGGAGCAGAGACACGAACACGGUUCACCAGAUUACGAGUCUACCGCUCUUAACCACUACACCACACUGGCUUUGAGGAAUCCUCAGGUUAAGCGGCAGUGCCAGAAUAUAUUUAGCAGAAGAAAUACCUUGAGGUGGGGAAUCCAGUGAUGGCUGAGCAUGUGUGGUGGUUGUAAUGGAAAAUGAUGGGUGAUGGUGAAGGAGGCAUAACUAACUAACAAGAGCACUCCAUGCUGCAAUACUGUGCUGCAAGUUCCACUUGUUUCCUCUUAUUUCCAAGAGCCCUUAUUUACAGUGCUGGGCCUUCCUGCCUUGCUUUUUCAGGACUCCGUCAGAUUAAGAAUAGAGAGGUUAUUCUUUCCUGGCUCCUGAAGACUGGAGAGGCUGCAGAGGAGUUUGUGUCACAGGCCUGUCACAGUCAUGAUAAGGUCCUAUGAUGGCCAUGCUGACAACUUCUGCAUGUGACCCCUAGGGAGAUGUCAUGUAUGGCAAGAACAGGUCAACAUGAUUCUAUCUCUGUUCAUGGAAAAUUUAGGACUGGAUUAGCACUACCCAUAUGCCAGAAUUCUAUGGGAUGACACAAAUGUGCAUGAACCAGUAGGGAUUCAGCAGGUCACCUUGAAAAUUCCAGGCAGAGUCCUAAACUAGAUACUAUGUCAAUGUGAGACAUCUCCACCUCUGUUGACUUCUGUACUUACCCAUGGGCUGAAAAGCAUGAACUGACAAUGAUGUUCUUUUUAAUCCCAUUAGUUUCUUCCUGUGUUAGGCUAUUAGGAUUAUGAAAGUGCCAUGCUAGGAUUCAAAGUUCUUUUUCCCACUGAUGUUCUUCCAGCCCAAGGAGAAGAUGGUAGCAGUGAGAAGAGAAGUGGAGUUGGGCAUGUGUAUCUGAUGCACGAUUGGGGUGAUGCCUCAUAAGUGUUAGUGGUGCCAGCAGCAAAAGUCCAUCGGCCUCUGCUGGUUCAGUCUGAUGUGGUCUGGG